GGUCCAGUGGUUAAGACUCUGCACUUUCAAUGCAGAGGGUGCAGGUUUGAUCCCUGGUCAGGACUA
rnacentral:tRNA from 1 species